GAUCCAGUCUCGGAAGAGCGCCACUCGGGUGAAGAAGUCAGGGCCUCGGCCACAGGGCCCCAGGGAAAAGGAGGCCACGCCGUGGGCCAGGCCCUCGCAGACGAGGGGGGUGCCCCCGUCCCCCUGGGCAGGCAGCAGCUGUGUCAGGGCGUCCCAGGGCCUGGCUCCCACGCCACCCCAGAACUGCAGAGGCCUCUUGCUGCCCCUGGAACCUACAAGUCCUGAUCCAGCCCCAGGGCCUUUGCAUGGCUCUUCUCUUUCUCUGCCCUGGUUAACUGCUAGUGGACUUUGGGAUCAGUUGCUUUCUGGAGCUUCCUGGCACCUCCAGCCUGCACUUGCUUUCUCCUGCCACGGAGAGCUCAGUACCUCUCAGGACCCCUCCUCCCGCCACAGGGAGCACUCACAUUGCAGAUGCCACCG
rnacentral:lncRNA from 1 species